rnacentral:lncRNA from 1 species
ACAUAAGUUGUUUGAAAUAUGAAAAAGAAAAUAGACAUUAGGUUAUUAGAUCAUCAUGUAUUACAUGGUCUCUAAACCAAGGAAAUUGGGACCUCCAUGUAUUCCAUCUCGUCGCAUUGCUACUAGUUGCUUCUGAGUAAGAAGGCCAUUGGAUGGUGUGUUUUCAGCAUCGAACUUGCUGUUGAAAACAAGAAGAUAAAUAAGUAGAUAAAUAAGCUACAAAAUAAAUAAACAAUUUUAAUGUAAAUUAUCUUACACGAAAUAUUCAUCCAUCUCUUCC